rnacentral:lncRNA from 1 species
GCAAGUUACCAUUAAUUCAUGCAGCAAAUUUUUAUUGAGCACCUACUGUGUGCCAGACACUGUUUGUAUCCGGGGAGCCAAGCAGUGAACAAAGCAGGCAAAGUCCAUGUCCUCAAGGAGCUCACAUUUUAGGAGGGGAAGGCAGGCAGCACAGAAAUAAAUAAACAGAUCCACAUGAGAAUUUAAGGUAUGACAAGUGCUAUGAUGAAAUAUAAAGCUGGGUAAGGAAAUAGACAGGCGGGGCGUGCUAUUUUAGGGAGCCUGGUCAGGCAAGGCCUUAAUGCUAAAGUUGAGCAGGAAUAUGAAGGAAGCAUGGGCAUAAGCCUGCAGGUGUCUGGGUAAAGAAUGUUCUAGGGAGCAGGAAUAGCAAGUGCAAAGGGCCUCAGGUGGAAGCACGCUGGCACACUUAAGGAACAGCCAGGGAGCAAGUGUGGCUGGAGUGUGGUGGGGAAGAGGGAGGGGGUGGAACAUGAGAUUGGAGGUCACCUGGGCCAGAUCACACAGGCCAGAAAAUGAUGAGAAGUGAUUGGAGAGAAGUGACAGGAAGAUGUUUUGAAAGAAUCCCCCUGGCUGCUGUGAAGAUAACAGAAGAAAACAGUGAGAAGGAGAUCACCUGGUAUGGAUACACUUGAAUGCUAAAUGAGGAAGAACACAGUGCCAUCAAAGGCUGUCAGGAACAUCCCCAAAUGCAACCUGAG